rnacentral:rRNA from 1 species
GACAGAGGAUGCAAGUGUUAUCCGGAAUCACUGGGCGUAAAGCGUCUGUAGGUGGUUCAAUAAGUCAACUGUUAAAUCUUGAGGCUCAACUUCAAAAUCGCAGUCGAAACUAUUGGACUCGAGUAUAGUAGGGGUAAAGGGAAUUUCCGGUGGAGCGGUGAAAUGCGUAGAGAUCGGAAAGAACACCAACGGCGAAAGCACUCUGCUGGGCCGACACUGACACUGAGAGACGAAAGCUAGGGGAGCGAAUGGG